rfam:Candidatus Adlerbacteria bacterium RIFCSPLOWO2_01_FTLL_51_16 rifcsplowo2_01_scaffold_1258, whole genome shotgun sequence.
GGAGGGGUGGCAGAGUGGUCUAACGCACCGCACUUGAAAUGCGGCGUACCGCAAGGUACCGUGAGUUCGAAUCUCACCCCCUCCG